GACAUAGGUGGCGAACGUUAUCCGGAAUUACUGGGCGUAAAGCGUGCGUAGGUGGUCUUUUAAGUCCGUUGUGAAAGCCCUGGGCUCAACCUGGGAAUGGCAGUGGAUACUGGAAGGCUGGAGUACGGUAGAGGAGGGUGGAAUUCCCGGUGUAGCGGUGAAAUGCGUAGAGAUCGGGAGGAACAUCAGUGGCGAAGGCGGCCCUCUGGACCAGUACUGACGCUGAGGCAGAAAGCGUGGGGAGCAAACAGG
rnacentral:rRNA from 1 species